CCCAGUGACAACACCCGGGUUUGCAGCUGCCAUUUUCCGGUGAGAAAGAGAAAUGUCCCUGUAUUUACCAGAAAAGGUAGCUCAUCCACCAUGGCAGAAGAGGAAGAUCCAGACUGUUGAUUGGGAAUCAAGAACAAACAAUGAGGCAUGAGGAUUGGGUGUUGAGGGACCACUUGUCACAUUGUCCAAGGAGUGCAUGGACAUUCUGUGCCAGUGUGAUCUGAGCGCAAGCGUCCAGUUGUGGAGACUACAGCUCAUCGAGCCUGUGGACGGACAGACAGUGCAUGAUCAACAAUUCAGCAAGGAGAUCUGCUGGAAGUGAUGUACUCUCUCUCUCUCACUUUGGGGGUACUGACAGGAAGAGUAAUAUGAGUCUGCCAGAGGUCGUCACGCUGGAUGGAGAAGAUGAUGGAGGCUUUGGUGGUCAAAACAACGUAGAAGCAGGUGUCCCUUCCAGUGAUGUGGAGUUGACCUUGGACCUGGUUCCAGUAAGAAUGGUCUUCACGGAGGCUGGACAUUUGACCUCCACCACUGCUGUGGUGCACACCAGACCAUCCUGUGAGGCACCCAUGAUCCCAGACCCCGUGACCUAAAGCCAUGACUCCUGCACAUCCAUCCCUGUAGCUAUUCUGAAUGCCUUGAUGCCCUCCUCUUUGUUAUCUGUGCCCCCACUUCGUAAAAUAUUUAAUAAACUUUAAUUUUCACAUGAGGACAUGUGCAGUUUUUCCAUGAACUUUUAAUUGCUAACUUGGGAUUUUAUCACUUGACAUAUCAUA